AGCAUCAUCUAUUGCCUGGAUUUUUGCCUGCAAUUGCUCCUGCUACGUUCGCUUAAUCAAUUCUUACCACCUUGGGGCACCAUUCAGGAUGCCUUUUCAUCUGAUAAAAUUUAUAAUGAACGGGGACAUUACGGUUGUCCCAAGUGGAUGGUAUGAUGAGAUGGUUUUCUGGCCCAACUAUAAAAAC